ensembl:lncRNA
CGAACUUCCAGCUUGCCACUUCCUGCCUCCUUUGGCUUCUUCUUUUUAAUAUUCGUUUAUUUGGCUGCUCUGGGGUUUAGCUCCAGCACCCAGGAUCUUGCAUUGCUGCUCACAGAACUCAGCUGUGUCACGUGGGAUCCAGUUCCCUAACCCGGAGUCGAACCUGGGCCCACCCGCGUUGGGAAGGCAGAGUCUGGACCACCAGGGAAGUCCCACUGCCAUUGCUUCUUACCACCGAAUGAGCAACCCGAUGAUGACUCUGAGCACCCAAAGGUGCCCACCCGCGUGUCCUCAGGGCCUAGCAAGUGUUUCGAAAAUAUCCGUGGAGAGACUAAGGAAGGGUUUUCAUGACCCCUAGUGGUGAAUAGGGGGAAGGACCGCUUUAAAGUUGAAGCCUACAGGUUGUGAACUUUCAAAGAUGUGGCUGUGAGGACCGGAUGGAAUUGGAGGCCCAGAGAAAGGAUGACGAGAGAAAAGAGCGAGAAGAAGAAACUGAAGAACUGAAGGGAUUCACGACACAGGAAACGGCAAGGGGAUUGUCUCUACUUACGGAGGCACUGUUAGCUUUUGCGGCACCGGACCGGAAAGUAGAAAGAAGCGUGGAAGUUGCAGCAGCCGUUCAGAAUGCAAUCCAGGGCUACUGUGGCAUCCCCGGCGAGAGAGACGAGCCACCACCCAGAAACCACUGGGUCAUUUUUUCAAGAGGACCGGUGGAAUUGAAUCUGGUGUGGAACCAGAGCUUGUGCCAGCAACGUCAGCUGUGAGUGGAACUGCAGCCUCCCUCCGUCUCUGUUGCUGACGACCCUUCGGCUCGUCCAUCGCCCACCUCCGCUCCCUCCUCCAUCUCUAACUCUCCUCGCCUGUCCGCCCGAUGCCCGCCCCGAACGCUAGCUGUUGUGCUGUGCUACUGUCCUUUUCAAGGUCCUGUACUGUAAGAUU